GGGACUUUUGUGUGGGGGUCUUUUUAUGUUGAUGUUGAUGUUGUUGCUUUCUGUUUCUUAUUUUGUCUUCUAACAGUCGGGCCCCUCUUCUACGGGUCUGCUACAGUUUGCUGGAGGUCCACAGCAGACCCUGUUUCCCUGGGUAUCACCAGUGGAGGCUGCAGAACAGCAAAGAUUGCUCCUUGCCCCUUCCUCUGGAAGCUUCGUCCCAGCAGGGCACAGACAUGAUGCCAGCUGGAACUCUCCUAUAUGAGAACUCCACUAGGGUGGAUGGAGAGGAAGAGACUAAGGAUUCACAUCUCACAAAGACAUUUAUGGAAGACUGAGUGUGUUUCCAGUAUCUUUCAGAGUUUGCAAAUGAGGCGGUGCCCAGCAUAGACAGGUUCUUUGCCCACCCAUCCUGAAUCCACAAGGCCAUAGAUGCAGACAGGAUAUUUAAUAAAGUUCAACACUGAGGCCUGACAAACACUGUGCAAGAAAGCUCAAACAGAAAGGAAGUUUCUUAUUCUGAUUGAGAAUACAUCAUACUUCUGGUAUGCUACUGAAAGCUUCUGAGGUUGGGAAUAAGACAAGGGCUCUGGCUGUCACCAUUUCUCUUGAACCUUACAGUGGAAUUUGGCAUUCGGGAAUUGCAAGUCAACACAGUGGCCACUCAAGGAGAAGCAAGGGGUGGCUGGAAGGAGAGGUGCCCCUGGAGUUCUGUAAAAUCUCUUUCUUGAUGUGCCUUUGAGUGUUCUCUUUGUGAAAAUUCUUUGAACUGCACUCUUAUGAUUUGUGCAUAUUUCCCUAUGAAAAUUAUACCUCAAUAAAAUAUUGACUUAAAUAACA